UCAAUUAGUCAACUAAACCUUAACUCCAACUCCAAACUAGGUGGUGAAUUAAUUUGAAGUACAUAACAUAGAGUAAUUGGCAGUGUUGUAAAUAGCGCUCGCCUCAGCGCUAAUAGCGUGAGGCGAGGCGAUGCAAGGGUGUGUCGCCACAAAGGGUCUGUUGCGAUGCGAUUGGAAAUAGCGCUCGCCUCAGGGUGUGAGGC
rnacentral:lncRNA from 1 species